CUGGAAUGGUUCAUGGCCGAAAUCUAUAUGGCCUUUGGAUUGGACUGCGGCCGAUCAGGCUGUUGGUGAGGUAAUGGCCCACCAAACCUGUUACCGGUACGGGCUCUGAGAGGAGGAGCCCGGAGAUGGGCACUGAGACAAGGGCCCAGGCCCUAUGGGGCGCAGCAGGCGCGAAGCCUCUGCAAUAGGCGAAAGCUUGACAGGGUUACUCUGAGUGAUUUCCGCUAAGGGAAUCUUUUGGCACCUCUAAAAAUGGUGCAGAAUAAGGGGUGGGCAAGUCUGGUGUCAGCCGCCGCGGUAAUACCAGCACCCCGAGUGGUCGGGACGAUUAUUGGGCCUAAAGCAUCCGUAGCCGGUCCUGCAAGUCUUCCGUUAAAUCCAGCUGCUCAACAGAUGGGCUGCGGGAGAUACUACAGGGCUAGGAGGCGGGAGAGGCAAGCGAUACUUUAUGGGUAGGGGUAAAAUCCGCUGAUCCAUAGAAGACCACCAGUGGCGAAGGCGGCUUGCCAGAACGCGCUCGACGGUGAGGGAUGAAAGCUGGGGGAGCAAACCGGAUUAGAUACCCGGGUAGUCCCAGCUGUAAACGAUGCAGACUCGGUGAUGGGUUGGCCUCGCGCCUGCCCAGUGCCGCAGGGAAGCCGUUAAGUCUGCCGCCUGGGGAGUACGGUCGCAAGACUGAAACUUAAAGGAAUUGGCGGGGGAGCACCACAAGGGGUGAAGCCUGCGGUUCAAUUGGACUCAACGCCGGU
rnacentral:rRNA from 1 species